AUCAGGUAGGGACACCCGCUGAACUUAAGCAUAUCAAUAAGCGGAGGAAAAGAAAAUAACAAUGAUUCCCCUAGUAACUGCGAGUGAAGAGGGACAAGCUCAAAUUUAAAAUCUGUUAGGUUUUACCUGACCGAGUUGUAAUUUGAAGAGGCGUUUUCAUCGUUUUUGGUCAGCUCAAGUCCUAUUGAAUGAGGCAUCAUGGAGGGUGAUAAUCCCGUCCGGUUGAUCAAUGCGUUUUACGAUACGUCUUCCAAGAGUCAAGUUGUUUGGGAUUGCAGCUUAAAAUGGGAGGUAAAUUUCUCCUAAGGCUAAAUAACGGCGAGAGACCGAUAGCGAACAAGUACCGUGAGGGAAAGAUGAAAAGAACUUUGAAAAGAGAGUCAAACAGUACGUGAAAUUGUUGAAAGGGAAACGAUUGAAGCCAGUCGUACCGGCGGAUAAUCAGCCUUUCGAGUGCGAUUCUGUGGAGCGUGAGGAGCUUAAUUGCCUUCACGUCUUGCAUAUUCGUGCACUUUUGGUGCACUUGUCCGUGUGGUGAGUUAACAUCAAUUCCGGUCGGCAUAAAAUGAUUGGAGGAAUGUAGCUUCGAUCUCGUAUCGAAGUGUUAUAGACUCUGGUAGAUGUGACGAUUGGGAUUGAGGAUUGCAACGGAUACCCUUCGGGCUACCCGCCUGAUCUCUGAAGGUUGCUCCGGUGCCGAAAGCGUGCUUAUGGUCAUCGAAAGUGAUCGUCAAAAGGUUAGAACGGGUUAAAUUCGUUAAGGAUGUUGACGUAAUGGCUUUAAACGACCCGUCUUGAAACACGGACCAAGGAGUCUAACAUAUAUGCGAGUGUU
rnacentral:rRNA from 1 species